rnacentral:rRNA from 1 species
GACGAACGCUGGCGGUAUGCUUAACACAUGCAAGUCGAACGAGACGGGAUGGAAGGAGCCUUCGGGUGACGGAAAUCCUAGAAAGUGGCGAACGGGUGAGUAACGCGUGGGUAACCUGCCCUAUGGAAAGGAAUAGCCUCGGGAAACUGGGAGUAAUGCCUUAUAAUAUACAGAAGUCGCAUGGCUUUUGUAUUAAACGCUCCUGUUCCAUAGGAUGGACCCGCGUCCCAUUAGCUAGUUGGUGAGAUAACAGCCCACAAAGGCGACGAUGGGUAACCGGUCUGAGAGGGCGAACGGUCACACUGGAACUGAGACACGGUCCAGACUCCUACGGGAGGCAGCAGUGGGGAAUAUUGCGCAAUGGGGGCAACCCUGACGCAGCAAUACCGCGUGAGUGAAGAAGGUUUUCGGAUCGUAAAGCUCUGUUAUUGGGGAAGAAAAAAGACGGUACCCAAGAAGAAAGUCCCGGCUAACUACGUGCCAGCCGCCGCCGUAA